AAGAAACUGCUACCGAGUAGUAGAAUGCAAAGCAUUCGUUGCACAUCAUUAGGUCUUAGAAGAUGUGUAUGCGAGUGCUUAUUUUUUU
rnacentral:ncRNA from 1 species